rnacentral:rRNA from 1 species
AACGAACGUUGGCGGCGUGGAUUAGGCAUGCAAGUCGCGGGAAUCCCAGCAAUGGGGGAACCGGCGUAAGGGGCAGUAAGGCGUGGGUACCUACCUUGGGGUCCGGGAUAGCCGUCCGAGAGGGCGGGUAAUACCGGAUGACCUCGGGAGAGCAAAGCUCCGGCGCCCUGAGAGGGGCCCACGUGAUAUUAGCUGGUUGGUGAGGUGACGGCUCACCAAGGCGGAGAUGUCUAGCGGGUGGGGGGGCACGACCCGCGCCACUCGCACUGAGACACGGGUGAGACACCUACGGGUGGCUGCAGUGGAGGAUCUGCGGCAAGGCGCGGAAGCGCGGCCGAGGGACGCGGCGUGGGCGAUGAAGGCCUUCGGGUUGUAAGGCCCUGUCGAGGGGGAGAAAAGCCCGCAAGGGUGUGAUCUAUCCCUGGAGGAAGCUCGGGCUAAGUUCGUGCCAGCCGCCGCAGUAAAAC